rnacentral:ncRNA from 1 species
AAUAAAAACACGGGACGGUUGGUAGUCCGUCCGCGGGAAACCGUCAGUAACCUUCCUCCUUAGGUCGUCCGUUUACCGGU